AUUAAAAUGAACUAAAGAGUAUAUAAAUUAUAAAAAAACUAAUAUAUACUGGCAGCAUUCCACCUUAUUAGAGAAACAUGUUUCUUAAUCGAAAAUACACGUUAAUUUUCACUAAUUUUAAAAUUUUGUAUACCGCCGUAUAGAAUUUUUCUCAAAAUUUUUUCAAAAAAAAAUUCUAAUAAAAUAGGUAAAGUGUAAACUACAAAUAAGAUGAUUAUGUGUUGCAAUAAAUGUAAUUUAAAAAUCCUAUUCUAUAAAAUUUAAAUGCAGGAUUUAAAAGUAAUAUAUUAACAAAAAUUAUAUAUGAAUAAGGUAAUAAAUGUGC
rnacentral:rRNA from 1 species